GACGAACGCUGGCGGCGUGCUUAACACAUGCAAGUCGAGCGGUAAGGCCCUUUCGGGGGUACACGAGCGGCGAACGGGUGAGUAACACGUGGGUGACCUGCCCUCAGCUCUGGGAUAAGCCCGGGAAACUGGGUCUAAUACUGGAUAUGACUCCAUGACGCAUGUUGUGGGUGGAAAGCCUUGUGCGGCUGAGGAUGGGCCCGCGGCCUAUCAGCUUGUUGGUGGGGGAUGGCCUACCAAGGCGACGACGGGUAGCCGGCCUGAGAGGGCGACCGGCCACACUGGGACUGAGACACGGCCCAGACUCCUACGGGAGGCAGCAGUGGGGAAUCUUGCGCAAUGGGCGAAAGCCUGACGCAGCGACGCCGCGUGAGGGAUGACGGCCUGGUGUAACGU
rnacentral:rRNA from 1 species